UACGUAGGGUGCGAGCGUUAAUCGGAAUUACUGGGCGUAAAGCGUGCGCAGGCGGCGCGUUAAGACAGGUGUGAAAGCCCCGAGCUUAACUUGGGAAUUGCGCUUGUGACUGGCGUGCUGGAGUGUGGCAGAGGGAGGUGGAAUUCCACGUGUAGCAGUGAAAUGCGUAGAGAUGUGGAGGAACACCGAUGGCGAAGGCAGCCUCCUGGGAUGACACUGACGCUCAUACACGAAAGCGUGGGGAGC
rnacentral:rRNA from 1 species